CUCUUAUCAAGAGAGGCAGAGGGACUGGCCCUGUGAAGCCUCAGCAACCCCUGGUCUAACCAGAAAGGUGCUAACUCCAGCAAGUUGUCUAUUCAACUUGGAAGAUAAGAA
rnacentral:ncRNA from 2 species